ensembl:lncRNA
GGUGUGCUCCGCAGUGCCCCAGAUAUGCCCAGGUGUGCUCAGGUGAGCCCAGGUAUGCCCAGUUGUGCUCCAGGUGUGCUCAGGUGUGUCCAGGUGUGCCCCAGGUGUGCCCAGCAGUGCUCAGGUGUGCUCAGGUAUUCCCAGGUGUGGUCAGGCGUGCCAUGGUGUGCCCCAGGUGUGCCCAGCAGUGCUCAGGUAUUCCCACGUGUGGUCAGGUGUGCCAUGGUGUGCUCAGGUGUGUCCAGGUGUGCCCAGGUAUGCUCAGGUGUGCUCAGGUGUGCCCAGGUGUGCCCCAGGUGUGCCCAGCAGUGCUCAGGAGUGCUCAGGUGUGCCCACGUGUGCUCAGGCGUGCCCAGCAGUGCCCAGGUAUGCCCAGCUGUGCCCAGGUGUGCUCAGGAAUGCCCAGGUGUGCCCAGGUGUGCUCAGGAAUGCCCAGGUGUGCCCAGGUGUGCUCAGAUGUGCCCAGCAGUGCUCAGGUGUGCCCAGAAGUGCUCAGGUGUGCCCAGGUGUGCUCAGGCGUGCCCAGCAGUGCCCAGGUAUGCCCAGGUGUGCUCAGGUGUGCCCCAGGUGUGCUCAGGUAUUCCCAGGUGAGUCCAGGUAUGCCCAGGUGUGCCCAGCAGUGCUCAGGAAUGCCCAGGUGUGUCCAGGUGUGCCCAGAUGUGGUCAGUUGUGCCCCAGGUGUGCCCAGGUAUGCCCAAGAGUGCUCAAGUGUCUCCAGGUGUGCUCAGGUAUGCCCAGGUGUGUCCAGCAGUGCUCAGGUGUGCCCAGGUAUACCCAGGUGUGCUUAGGCGUGCCCAGGUGUGCCCAGGUGUGCCCAGGUAUGCCCAGGUGUGCUCAGGUGAGCCAAGAUGUGUUAAGGAAUGCUCAGGUGUGCUCAGGCGUGCCCCAGGUGUGCUCAGGUGUGCCCAGGUGAGCCCAGGUAUGCCCAGGUGUGCUCAAGAGUGCCCAGGAGGUGCUCAGGUGUGCCCAGCAGUGCUCAGGUGUGCUCAGAUGUGCCCAGCAGUGCUCAGGUGUGCCCAGCAGUGCUCAGGUGUGCUCAGAUGUGCCCAGGUGUGCCCAGCAGUGCUCAGGUGUGCCCAGGUGUGCUCAGAUGUGCCCAGCAGUGGUCAGGUGUGCCACGGUGUGCUCAGGCGUGCCCAGGUGUGCUCUGGUGUGCCCAGGUGUGCCAUGGUGUGCCCAGGUGUGCCAUGGUGUGCCCAGGUGUGCCCCAGGUGUGCCCAGGUAACAGCGGUGCCAUCGGUGCUCUGGUGCAGCCCCGCCCACUGCCUCCAGAUUGGCUGCUGGCUCGCUGGCCCCGCCCCCGCCAGGGUUCUCCCAGCAAUGGCAAUGCUUCCUCAUUAGCAUAAACCGUCUUCCUCAUUAGCAUAAACCCUGCUUCCUCAUUAGCAUAAACCCGGCUUCCUCAUUAGCAUAAACCCCACCCAUGCACCUUGAUCCCGCCCCCUUUGGGAUCCAGGGGCUCCCCUCCCCCAUGGGCCUUGUGCCCCAAAAAUGUCGGGGUCCCACCCCACAAAUUUUGGGGUCCUGACCCCACAAGUGUUGGGGUCCUGCCCCACAAAUUUUGGGGUC